rnacentral:lncRNA from 1 species
GGCUCUAGCCUGCUUCUGCUCCAGAGUCAUGGCCAACCCCCAGACGCGUAACCAGAGUUUCUCCAAGCUAAGAACACGCACACAAUCUUCAGGAGGGACUCCGGAAGCAGAGAGCAUUGAGAAACGCAAGCUUUCCCAGAAGCGAAGGACACUGGUUAGUGAUGCUCUUCUUUUGGAAGCCCACAUGUCACCUUCUACAACCUGUCUGUUCCACCUACAACCCCAAAGCAUAACCCAGCAGACUAGCUUCUUCCCAAUCAGAGAAAUAUGACUCACUCACAGAAGCCAGGCUCACUAGGCUCUGGGGGAGGAGGUAAGAGCAUGCUGGUCCUUCUUCCUCAUCUGAAAGCUGACCCAGGCUGUUCUAGGUAGAAAAGACUUAGUCCCUUCCCUCAGCACCUUUCACUUUGCAACUCAACAUUCUGAAAUGGACCCUGUCUGCUGUGACCUAUACCGUUUGUCUUUAUGGCCUUAGGUCUGAUAACAGUACUUGAGUUCUAUAAAUACUUAGGAACAAGCAUGUGAAGGCACAG